CGGCGCGCGUUGCGGCCAGUCACGCUAUCGUUGCGCUGCGCCAGCCGAAACGCAAUCUCGCGCGCCGUCGGCCGUUAUCUUCGAAGUAUGCGCAGAACGAUCCCAAGCCCGCGCGCCGCUUUGAAUGGCUGUCUGCGACCGUCGGCGAAGCGGCGUGGGUUAAACACCACCUAGACUAGGUGGUGUUGGCUACAGGGACCUUAGCGUGGGUACGUGGGGCGCGACCAACGCGCGAAUGGCGCCGUGCCCGUCGGGGCGCGUCGGAAGCCGCCGGUUACUUUGGUAUUCGUCGCGAAAGGCUGAUUAAUGUGUGGUGUCGUCGAGUCCAUUCUGCCACUGGGCCCCAGAGUUGGAUUCAAUUAAACGAGAACCUAAUCACUUGACGGUCGUCCUGAGGAAUGGCAUUGGCACAGGGCCCAUUGGGAUCAACUGGUCCCGGUCUGUCCACGGUCACGAUAGCCUCUUCCCAGCCUUGAGGAAGCUGAAAGUGAGAAAUUUAAUGUUUCAUUCGAAGCGUCGUCUCUCAGCUAACACAAUUUGUGUGCGCCACCUCCAACCUACCUUGGGUUCGUAACGGAAGACAAUGUUGUAGUCCAUGGAUGUGGGUAUAUCGGGAACGUCAAACUCCAGCGGUCGCAUCGGCGGGACUCGACAUUUUUCUUGCAGUGGCAACGACCAGCGACAAGACCCGAUGUCAGGUCAUCCUGUGGGUCGCACACGCCUUCGUCCAAGGAACCACGGGGGUCACAAUCGCAAGCUGCAAAAGAACAGUGACUGAAGGGAUCAGACCCCAACCAAUCUGAACACGCAAAUAGCUCAAAAGCUUAAAAUGUCCAGCCGAAUGGACACUGCCUGCACGCCGUUCUCGGACUGCCACCAUGACCCCUUGCGCUUUUUGCCGAUCCUGAAAUGCAAACAAAGCAGGGUGUGGUACUUGCAACUCUGCCAUACUAAACGUUGUAUAAAAAAGAGCACCAAUUGUACACGACUCUUCUAGUUAAAGUUAUGGCUGAUCUCCACUCAAAUUUUGCACCGAGGCAUCAUUUUGCAGUGGGUUCAGUUUAAUACCACACUUGUUUGCAUUCCUUGCCUGUUUCAUCCAGUAAUACAUCUAAAGUGGGUGUCGUCUGUAGCAACGCUACUAGAAAAAAAUCUAGAUCCCACUGCAACAAAACAAUGAUGCCAUCUGUAACGGCUACAGCAAACACAGUGUUCACUGCGGACCCACAGAUGGCGCCACUGUGUCGUUACAGUGGAAUCGACACAUUUUUAGUGGCAUUGCCCCAGAUGAUGAUGAUGAGAUGAGAUGAUGAGCACAUAGAAAACGAGAAAAAGGAGACUGAUCACAUCACCGUAAGUGAAGAUGGCGAUCAUGUGGUACCACAAACAACUUAGAAGCCUGCCAGUCAGCCCGGUGUGGUGGUUGAAGGUUAUACAUUGACCAUGUCACUGAAAGCUGCCAAACUGGCCUUUCCAAUUGCUCUCAUCUCAUGGAAACACAGGGAAACCCAUUCUCCCAUCUUGUUCUGUUGAGUGCUGAAUGGAUUGGCAUUUCAGAAGCAUGGUCAUGGUGUGUAUAUGCAGCAUCUCAGUGGUUUCUAGCACAACGAAAUCACAUCAGGUUUCGCUGACUUGAAUAAUCUUCUUUUUCACGUCUGAAUUCAUGCUGCACUUGAGAUGCAUUUUGAACGGGUCACGUUAAUAGGUAACAUGAAUAAUUGUUUGCUGCACUCUUGAGGAAUCGCAAUUUUGCAAAUUGCAUUUGCUAAAUUGUCUAAAGAGGACAUAUUGUUUGUUUGUUUACAACUUACAUAAAAUUACUACAUCGCCUUAUUUCUGCUUUGCAACAGUUCUAUUCACGAAUUAUUGGUAUAAUUCAGAGCAGUGUAUGAUAUUUAAGUUUCGUUUUAAAUGUUUCAAUAGGCGCAGCUUACAGAAUUUUGAUAUAUUUUUUAUUGCUGACUUAGAGUUGUAACACUGAUGCUUGUUUAUUAUUACAUUUCUUCUGCAAUUCUCAGCAAAUUCUGUGAAAAAUGAAUUGCUGGCCCUAGAUCAAGAAACCACUCCCUAAAAUUGAUAGAUUAUAACUUUUUCUUUUCAAUGCAAGAAACCUCAUCAAAUUCGAUGCAGCGGAUGCCAAGCAAAACAGUUUAUUUCAAUGUAUUUAGAUGGAAGAUGCUGAGGUAGAGCUUGCAUUUGAGUGGCCUUCUGCAAUAAUUUCUAUUCCUUUAUUUUUACUGACACCAAGUUUAAAGGGACAGACAAUCGCUCAGAACAUGAAUCGAGAUAACCCCACUGAUGGAAAAAUCGCCUAUCAUAUUGGCUAAAACGAGCCCUGUUUUUCUCAUUAAAAGUGGAUUUAUAUUUUUAAUUCUUCACUAAAAGUAGCGAAAAAUGACCUUUGGUGCCCCACGCGGCAAAAACAUGAAGGUGCAUAAGAGGUCAAUCACGUGACCUUCUGCUGGUGUACGCAUUUCCUGAUCUUGUUAACAAAUUAGUAUUGAAAUGCAGUACGCUUCUUUCUAUUAUAAGUUUUUUCUAACUUACAAUGUGCAGAUAAGCCUUCGUUUGUAGGGAGCAAAAAAUGACGCUGCCUUCGCCUUCGUUUUCAAUGAGUUGGCUUGGCUCGUCUAUCGACAGAGUACGACCAGGGGCCAGCCAGCCAUGACGUAGGCGUGUACUUGGGGAAAAAAACGCGGUACAACUAUAAGAAAGGUCUGUACAACAACGCAAACUUAUUGUACCGGCCUUUUAAUUUUAAAAGUGGAUGGAAAGGUCGAAAUAUAGGUGGUUAACCACAGUUGCACUCCAUCCAGUGAAAGCAGGACGAUGGGCGGCUUUCACAAUUUGCCGAGGCAGGCUAUCGGCAUCGCUCUCACUUCUCAGCGUUGCUGGAGGCGGGACUCUUAAUUUUUUAGAGGCUGCUCAGAUCGAAAAAUUCUGCUUACAAAAUAUCCACGCGCUUUUUAAAGUAACUGCUGCAGGUGUAAACACUACCGAGUGUGAACUUUUCGUGGCACCAUAAAGAACUGGGUCCUUAAAAAAUCAGUUGUCAGUCCCUUUAAGGAAAAAAAUAAAAACAUACAUCACUGCCAUGAAAGGGAAAGUUGUCAUCCACAUGACUGUAGCAUGAAGCUACAAAAUAAAUACAUACGAAUUUCUCAGAAAGAAAGCUUUGCAGAUGAAAAGUUCUGGCCUGGGACCAAUGUCUUUCUGGGCCGUUGCUCUACAUUCUGAGCUGACCAGGAGGUUAGCAUAUAGCAGAGUGAGGCAGCAUUAUUCGACAGCUUGAAGCAAAGGGACACUGAAUAUGUUGAAUCAGUUCUGUGGAUGGAGGAAGAUUCAUGAAAGAAAAAAAAUGUCAUCCACUUGACUGUCACCCACACGACUGUAGGGUGGAUGACAAUUUUGCCUUUCAUGAGCUUACCUUCACCUUGUGGGCUUGGACAAAACUGAUUCGCCAACAUCAUUGUCCAUUGCGGGAACACAAGCAAGACAUUCUAUCUCCAUGAAACUAU